rnacentral:rRNA from 1 species
UACGAAGGGGGCUAGCGUUGUUCGGAGUUACUGGGCGUAAAGGGCGCGUAGGCGGCGCACCAAGUCAGGCGUGAAAGCCCUGGGCUCAACCCGGGAAUUGCGCUUGAGACUGGUGUGCUUGAGUACGGGAGAGGAGAGCGGAAUUCCCGGUGUAGCGGUGAAAUGCGCAGAUAUCGGGAAGAACACCCGUGGCGAAGGCGGCUCUCUGGGACGGUACUGACGCUGAGACGCGAAAGCGUGGGGAGCGAACAGG